CAAUAGCGUAUAUUAAAGUUGUUGCAGUUAAAAAGCUCGUAGUUGGAUUUCUGGUGGGAGCGAUCGGUCUGGCGCUUAGCGCGAGUACUUGCAACGUCUCCGGCCAUCCUUGGGGAGAGUCUGUCUGGCAUUAAGUUGUCGGGCAGAGGAUCCUCAUCGUUUACUGUGAAAAAAUUAGAGUGUUCAAAGCAGGCUUAUGCCGUUGAAUAUAUUAGCAUGGAAUAAUAAGAUAGGACUUUGGUACUAUUUUGUUGGUUUGCGCACCAAAGUAAUGAUUAAUAGGGACAGUUGGGGGUAUUCGUAUUCCGUUGUCAGAGGUGAAAUUCUUGGAUUUACGGAAGACGAACUACUGCGAAAGCAUUUACCAAGGAUGUUUUCAUUAA
rnacentral:rRNA from 1 species